CGAUGAUGGCUCCAAAAGCCUUUUGGAGUGGGUCUGUGGAUUUUUCCCAUUGAGUAUUGAAGUCACCAAAAAUUGAAAUAUUAUCUGCCAUGUCUACAAGGUCUGAUAGGAAUUCAGGGAACUCAGUGAGGAACGCUGUAUGUGGCUCAGGAUGCCUGUAAACAGUAGCUAUAAAAAGUGAUUGAGUAGGUUGCAUAGAUUUCACGACUAGAAGCUCAAAAGACGAAAAAACACUGUUUUGUUUUGUAAAUUGAAAUUUGCUAUCGUAAAUGUGAGCCACAUCUCCGCCUAUGCAGAAUGCGCGGGGGAUAUGGUCACUAGUGUAACCAGGAGGUGAGGCCUCAUUUAACACAGCAAAUUCUUCAGGCUUAAGCCAUGUUUCAGUCAGGCCAAUCACAUAAAGAUUAUGAUCAGUGAUUAGUUCAUUGACUAUAACUGCCUUGGAAGUGAGUGAUCUAACAUUAAAUUAAGUAGCCCUCUUUUGAGAUGUGAGGUAUCACAAUCUCUUUCAAUUAUGGCAGGAAUGGAGGAGGCCUUUAUUCUAGUGAGAUUGUUAAGGCGAACACCACCAUGUUUAGUUUUGCCCAACCUAGGUCGAGGCACAGACACGGUCUCAAUGGGGAUAGCUGAGCUGACUACACUGACUGUGCUAGUGGCAGACUCCACUAAGCUGCCUGCCUGGCCUGCACUAUAUUACAUGGAUUUAUUGUGAUGGUGUAGGUAGACUAUAUUACAUGGAUUUAUUGUGAUGGUGUAGGUAGACUAUAUUACAUGGAUUUAUUGUGAUGGUGUAGACUAUAUUACAUGGAUUUAUUGUGAUGGUGUAGGUAGACUAUAUUACAUGGAUUUAUUGUGAUGGUGUAGGUAGACUAUAUUACAUGGAUUUAUUGUGAUGGUGUAGGUAGACUAUAUUACAUGGAUUUAUUGUGAUGGUGUAGGUAGACUAUAUUACAUGGAUUUAUUGUGAUGGUGUUGGUAGUCUAUAUUACAUGGAUUUAUUGUGAUGGUGUAGGUAGACUAUAUUACAUGGAUUUAUUGUGAUGGUGUAGACUAUAUUACAUGGAUUUAUUGUGAUGGUGUUGGUAGACUAUAUUACAUGGAUUUAUUGUGAUGGUGUAGGUAGACUAUAUUACAUGGAUUUAUUGUGAUGGUGUAGACUAUAUUACAUGGAUUUAUUGUGAUGGUGUUGGUAGACUAUAUUACAUGGAUUUAUUGUGAUGGUGUAGGUAGACUAUAUUACAUGGAUUUAUUGUGAUGGUGUAGACUAUAUUACAUGGAUUUAUUGUGAUGGUGUAGACUAUAUUACAUGGAUUUAUUGUGAUGGUGUAGGUAGACUAUAUUACAUGGAUUUAUUGUGAUGGUGUAGGUAGACUAUAUUACAUGGAUUUAUUGUGAUGGUGUAGGUAGACUAUAUUACGUGGAUUUAUUUGAUUUUUUUUAAAUGUAGAUGUUCCAAAAGGUCUGCGUCAGUGUGGAAGCCAUGAGAUGCUCAAUGUGUUCAUGUUCAUUAACGGUGAAUUACCGUGAGACCGGCGGUUAUUUGCUUGACAAUCACCGGCUGACGAAACGUCAUGACCGCCACAGCCUUAAUAGAGCCCAAAGGGUACAGGCCCGCUCGAGGAAUUUGCUCAAUUGGCUGUCUGACACUCACAGCGAGAGCGUGUCAGACAGGAUAUCUUUCUGCCUGAGCUCCUUUCUGAGUUUAACUGCAGU